rnacentral:rRNA from 1 species
GUGUCAGCCGCCGCGGUAAGACGAACCGUCCGAACGUUAUCCGGUAUCACUGGGCUUAAAGGGUGCGUAGGCGGCUCCGUAAGUUGGAUGUGAAAGCCCUCGGCUCAACCGAGGAAUUGCGUUCAAAACUGCGGGGCUCGAGGGAGGCAGAGGUGAGUGGAACUUGCGGUGGAGCGGUGAAAUGGGUUGAGAUCGGAAGGAACGCCGGUGGCGAAAGCGGCACACUGGGUGGCAACUGACGCUGAGGAACGAAAGCCAGGGGAGCGAACGGGAUUAGAUACCCCGGUAGUCCUGGCCCUAAACGAUGAGCACUAGACGGGAGGAGUUUCGACUUCUCCGGUCGAAGCGAAAGCGUUAAGUGCUCCGCCUGGGGAGUAUGGUCGCAAGGCUGAAACUCAAAUGAAUUGGCGGGG